CAAGGUCUCCAAAAAGGGUGGGUAGUCUGAACUGUAGUUUGGUGCAUAAGCACAGACCACAGUCAGAACCCGUCCCCCCACACGUAGGCGGAGGGAGGCUACCCUCUCAUUCACUGGGAUAAACCCCAACGUACAGGCACCAAGAUGGGGGGCAACUAGUAUGUCCACCACUGCUCUGCGCCUCUCAGUGGGAGCAACUCCAGAGUGGUAGAAAGUCCAACCCCUCUCAAGGAAACUGGUUCCAGAGCCAGAGCCAUGUGUUGAGGUGAGUCCGACUACAUCUAGUCGGAACCUCUCAGCCUCACACACCAACUCAGGCUCCUUCCCCACCAGAGAGGUGACAUUACAUGUGCCAAGAGCCAGCUUCUGUAGCCAAGGAUCAGACCACCAAGGUCCCCGCCAUCAACUACCAGGAUCGACAUCCGGAAACUUUCAAAAUAAAAGUCAUGUGCAGUAUGUCAUUUCCCGUUAAACCGCCGUAGCCGAUGUAAACAGGACAGAAAAUAGACCAUGGACCUUUUUGGAUACACGCAGCUGUCCUUCUCCUUGCUUGUUAUUGUGUGGACUAAUCAGCAUCCUGAUGUGCCACACCUGUGAGAGAGAUCAUGUCAGCUAUGCUCAAAAACCCAGAUUUAGACUAACUAGUGAAGUUUAUCUGAGUGAGCAAGGUCCUUGAUAUGCAUAGCUAAUAACGUGUUCAUUAGUUUGUUUGUUAUUUGUGCAGAAUGAACGAAAACUAUUCCAGCACAAUAUUUAGAACACUAAGUCACAUAGCCCUGUAAUCAUUUGAUCAGUGUAGCUUUGACACCCACAAACUCAGGAAAUGGCUCAUCUUUCAUGUGACUGACUCAUCGUGCUUCUAGACAUCAGUAAGCGCUCCCUACCAUAAGAGAUGAGUGUGUUUCAGGUGAAAGGGUGCCUGUCAUCAGCCAUCAGGGCUGUCUUCAUCACCGACAUUAAGUACGUUCUGAUUGGAGGUGGGAUUGGCUUGUUCCUCGCUGCCAUUUUUCUCAUCACAAAGUUCUACAUCAUGAGGAAGCAGGCGCGGGAUACCUGCACAGAAAAUAACACAAGGAGACCUUCAGAGCCUCACUUAUUUCUGAGUCGGGUCAGCCACUCAGAACCGCCCUCCAUGUCCAACGAGGUGUGAGUCGAAAGGUCAGCUGGAUUACAGAGCAGCAUCUGGGUUCAGAAGUCAACUAUCGCCUGUAUUUUUUCACAAACAUCAUCAUUUGAACCAUUACCUUGUGUAACUCGUGUGACUUUCAAUAUUAGUAUGUGUACAAUAAAUUCUGUCUAUCGUUAUUUGGCUGCUGACAGCCACCUUCUGCAUAAAUAUGUAUAAAUAAAAUAUGUGUUUGUAUUGGCAGCUUCUUUUAUUCAUCAGGCAUUCAAUCUACCCACCAACUGCACAGAUCUAAAGCAGCGGGCCGGGGAAUAGUUUGUCCACACGAGGGCAGCAUUCACUUUCUACAAAACCAUUUUGUCUUCAGAGAAUCAGAGAAAAAGCAAAUGUCCUUCUUGUCUUGACCUGUGGCAGGUCAUCAGGUCUAACAGAAAACGUCUCUUCCUGAGUAACACGCUUUUGUUUUGCAUGCUUUCAUAUGAAUCGACGCAGCAUUUUUUAUUAAAUGGCCUGUAUCUAAAUAGCACCCCCCAAGGUGCUUCACAAGAAAAAAAGGAAGAAAAAACUUUUAUACAGCGCCUCUCAAGAUAAAAAUCAAGAGAUGCUUCACAAAAACAAAAAAUUGUUACAUAAAAAGGAUUUCACAAAAAUGAUUAAAAACAUGUUUAAAAUGAGAAGAAAAUAAACGGUGAUUAAAAAAUGUAAGGAAAGGAAAGAGAAAAUGGGACCACAGCAGCAGACGAUCUGUCACCUUUGGUCUUCAGCCUGGUGCUGCACAACCACUAGACUUUGGUCACUGGACCUCAGGGAUCUGCUGGGGGUGUAGGGACUAAGAAGAUCACCAAUGUAAGAUGGUGCUUGUCCAUGUAAGGCCCUAUAGACCAGAACCAGGAUCUUGAAAUGAACCCCGAAGGUGACUGGCAGCCAGUGAAGCUGGAGGAGAAGCGGGGUGAUGUGGGUGUGUUUGGAGGACUUGGAAGCAUUCAGAACCACCUGUAGACGGUUCAGGGAAGUUCUGCUCAGACACGUGAAAAGAGAGUUGCAGUAGUCUAACCCCUACUGCACACUGGAAGCAUCAGCGGUGCGGAACGGCAGUGGAACGUCACUUCUUCACAUAGAACCCAUUAUAGUCUAUAGUGUCAUAAGCACAGCAUGAGCCACAAUGUAGCCACAGCAGUCCUGGGGUGCGCUAACGGGGGUGGUGUUGUUGUUUAUCCUAUAGCUUUAGCAAUAGUUUUUCAAAUGUAUUUUUGUUUAUGGAAAUCAUCUCAAUAUCCCCUGUGUCCCUCUUGGUGGCCCACUGUAUGUAGCUCCCACUAAACACCACUGGAGGGCGAUAAUAGCCCUUCUCAGUCAUACAAGUCAGGUAAAAACUGAGUUUGUGCAGUGCUGUAGCAACCUGGGGUUAGCACUUUGACUCCACACACCCAUUCCAUGUAACAAUGUUACUUAAAUACAAUUUUAAUUGUGUUUAUAGCAAAAUAAUAUUGAAAAAAAAGACUGUUUGAACUAGUUUCCCUGUUGCCAACACCAGAAAAGCUGUUACAAUUUAUGUUGGAAAAAUGUACAACUGUACAAGUUGUAUAUUUUAUUUUGAAGGAAUCUAUAGCAAGUGGCAAUGGUUAAAGGGACUUUACAGAGUUUUGAAUUUUUAUGCUCGCGAUUGCCCCCUCUGGCCAAAAGCGUAACGGCAGCUUCAAUAGUAGGCUCGUGCACGAGGCGCGCAUGCUGUACGUGCACACUCCUUAACGAAAAUAACAGCUGAGACAGUCCCGUGUGAGUGUGUUUGUGUGGCCCGGAGGACAGAGGACAGGAGAAAGCGCAGCUAAUUAGUUAAAUAAUUUGGUUCUGUACCUUUCUCUUCAGCACAGCCGACAAAGGUUUAUGAUGGGUCAGUCCUCCUGCAUGCUCAGAUCAUUCCCUUCCCUUGCUUGAAAAAUUGUUCCAAAAUGAAAGUUGAACCCACAUCUUUUUUAUC
rnacentral:lncRNA from 1 species